UCUGUUGUAGCACAUAUAAAUGCAAUUUCCAGGCACUGACUAUAACUUUUGAGAGGACUUUUUCCUCAGCCAAAAAAAAAAAAAAAAAUACUGCUUUUGUAUUUGUCAAAUGUUUUACAUGAUGAGGACAAUGUAGUGGUGAUUAUUGCUUGGAGAGGUUAUUGUUUGUUUUGGGGGGUUUUUGUUUGUUGAAACAAUGUCUCAUUAUGUAGUUCAGGCUGACCUUGAACUUCUGGCAAUCCUUCUCCCUCAGCCUCUCAAGUGCUGGUAUUACAGGCGUGCACUACCACACCCAACUGUAGAGCCGGGACCCAUGUACACUCCAACCAAGUCGGAGGACAAAGGCCCCAGCUGAAAUGAGGACUGCAUAUUUAAAGGGAAAAACCACAGAAGAAGUCUCUCCUCCCAUUCCCCUGGGUUACGGAUUGUUGCAGAAGCUGGUUACAGAAGCCAGGAUAAGCACACUCAUUGGCUUGCUGCCUUCUCCCUGCCCUUCUUUUCCAUUAAGUGUUUCUCCUCUGUGAUGCCCCUCUGCCAUGCCACCUUGCCUUGGAGUCAACCAUGAACUGAAACCUCUACAAACUGAACACCUAUAGAAGCUAAAUCAUCAUCUCAGAGGUACUUGAAAUUAAACUCAACAUGAUGAGAAUACACUAAGAGAGGCUGAAGGACACAUUUUUGAAAGGGCUAGUGGAACUGGGAAUCAAAGACUUCUUAUGGCUAUGAGUUAUAGGCAUAGUCAAAGACUGCUAAUAGGCUACUGCAGCAUUGAGGGAAGAGACUACAGAUGGCUAACUACCAAAGCCUUCAGAAGCAAAGAAAAUGUAUUCAGAGACAAAGGGGAAAAGUUUUGAGCAUCAGUCACCUGCACAUCAACCCUACCAAAGCUACAAGUCUACCAGAUGGUACCACCCACACCCAGGGAGGGUCUUCCCUCUUCAGUAAAUCCAUCCUCUGAACCCAGAACUGUGAUAAACUAAUCAGUGGACAAGGCAGUUAUCACACCCAUGAUCUAGUUCCUCCCAAAAGCCCCACCUAUGAGCUCUUGAGGCUGUGGGAGUCACCUAGAUACAAACUGUAGCACUU
ensembl:lncRNA